AGGGUUGUGGCUCAGUGGUAGAGCUCUUGCCUCAUAUGUGUGAGGCACUGAGUUCAAUGCUCAGCACCACAU
rfam:Ictidomys tridecemlineatus contig057568, whole genome shotgun sequence.